UCGAGAAUCUUCGGCAAUGGACGAAAGUCUGACCGAGCAAUGCCGCGUGCGGGAUGAAGGCCCUCGGGUUGUAAACCGCAAAAGUGAGGAGGAAGGGCCCGUGAAGAGCGGGUCUUGACCGAUCCACAGUAAGGACGGGCUAAGUUCGUGCCAGCAGCCGCGGUAACACGAACCGUCCAAACGUUAUUCGGAAUUAUUGGGCUUAAAGGGUGCGUAGGCGGCGCAUUAAGUCGGGUGUGAAAUCCCUCGGCUCAACCGAGGAACUGCGCCCGAUACUGAUGUGCUUGAGGGAGACAGGGGUGAGCGGAACUGAUGGUGGAGCGGUGAAAUGCGUUGAUAUCAUCAGGAACACCGGUGGCGAAAGCGGCUCACUGGGUCUCUUCUGACGCUGAGGCACGAAAGCUAGGGUAGCGAACGGGAUUAGAUACCCCCGUAGUCC
rnacentral:rRNA from 1 species